UGGUUUUGCAAAACGUCGGCAUGCAUUGUUUGAUGGCAAUUUCAGCUUCCAUGUAAUGCCUGAACAGUGCAAAGAAAUUGCAUACCCUCAAUUUGUUGUCUUUAGGAGAUAUAAGUGAAAAAGGGAUCAGAAAUUUAAUUUCCAGCUUCAAGUUCCUCAGAAUCCUGAAUAUCAGUGGAUCAGGAAUAAAGAAACUGCACAAAUCCAUUGGUGACUUGAUAUUCUUGAGAUAUUUGGACCUCUCCAACACUCCAAUUGAGA
rnacentral:misc_RNA from 1 species